GACGAACGCUGGCGGCGUGCCUAAUACAUGCAAGUCGAGCGAAGUGGAGAGAGCUUGCUCUCAAAGCUUAGCGGCGAACGGGUGAGUAACACGUGGGCAACCUGCCUGACAGACUGGGAUAACUUGGGGAAACUCAAGCUAAUACCGGAUAGGAUCGCAAACCGCAUGGGAUGCGAUGGAAAGUCUGAACGACACUGUCAGAUGGGCCUGCGGCGCAUUAGCUAGUUGGUGGGGUAACGGCCUACCAAGGCGACGAUGCGUAGCCGACCUGAGAGGGUGACCGGCCUCACUGGGACUGAGACACGGCCCAGACUCCUACGGGAGGCAGCAGUAGGGAAUCUUCCACAAUGGGCGAAAGCCUGAUGGAGCAACGCCGCGUGAGUGAUGAAGGUUUUCGGAUCGUAAAACUCUGUUGUUAGGGAAGAACACCCGGGAGAGGAUCCCGGUUUGACGGUACCUAACGAGGAAGCCCCGGCUAACUACGUGCCAGCAGCCGCAGUAAGAC
rnacentral:rRNA from 1 species